rnacentral:lncRNA from 1 species
AGACAUUAAUCUUAAGUAUCCAGGGAGCCCUAAAACAUUGUAUCCCACUAGCAAGGACCAUGGUAAUUGCCACGUAAAUCCCCUCCAUUAUGUGGCCCUUAUUAUGACCAGCCAGCCAAGGCUUGCCUUUAAAUCAUACCAAUUGAACCGAGCCUUGUAGAAACACUAUCACCUACGCAUACCUCUGCUUCUUUUCAUUAACCUGCUAUCCUCUUUACAAAUGGGAUUCUUCACCCACUCCCUUCUUCUAGAUUAGCAAUGCCCUGUUAAGUAAACGAACACGAAAUUCAAAGGGAAACAGGAGCAAUCAUCAUUACCAGCUGCCGUGUUAAGCAUUGCGAAAACGCUCACGAUUCACAGAAAAAUCCAUGCUGUUCUUUGAAGGCAUUCAAGCCUUAAUAGCUAGCUGGAUGAAUGUUUAACUUCUAGGCCAGGCACUACUCUGUCCCAACAAUAAGCCCUGUACAUUGGGAAAGGUGCCGAGACAUGAACUUUGGUCUUCUCUGCAAUCCAUCUGGAGCAUUCACUGACAACAUCGACUUUGAAGUUGCACUGACCUGGCCAGCCCUGCCACUUACCAGGUUGGCAUCUGGCAUCUUUCUUGACAUAUGUAGCAGUUGCUUUUUGACAGCUUGCUUCUUCAGUGAAUGAAUAAAUUAAUAAAGAGAAAUGUGAUGUUCAGUGAUCCAUUUUGCAGAUAACACUAACAAAGUUGACCUUAGAAUUGGAGUGCCUGGGUUAGAACCCUGCUGGUACCACCUGCUUACUGCAUGCUUCUGAUGUGAGUUCAGGAGAAGACACUGGCAAGGACAGCAAAGAACAGGAGAACACUCUAGCUUCCCUGAUAGCAUUCAAGGUGCUGUCCAAACUGACUGUGAUGGCACCCUCCAGACAGACAGCGAUGCCACAUGUUCAAGAUGGCAGAAUCACUAUCAGCUUCAAUUCCUGAAUGACUGCAGAGCAAAAUUUCUUACCUGCAACAUACACUCUAUUUUCAGCCUCCCUGGACUGUUACAUAAUGAUACAUAAAAAUAUUUCUUGUGUUGAGGCAUCCCAAAUUUGAUUUAUUUGUCAUCACAGUCUAUCCUAUGAAUAUAUUUCUGAUCCAAAUAAUGCUAGAUUCAUGAGAGUUUAUAGUCCAGAGAUUUUUUUUUUUUUUUUGAGACAGAAUCUGUCUCCCAGGCUGGGGUGCAGUGGCAUAAUCUUAGCUCACUGCAACCUCUGCCUCCCGGGCUCAAGUGAUCCUCCCUCCUUAGCCUCCAUGAGUAGCUGGGACCACAGGUGUGCACCACCACACCCCGCUAAUUAUUUUGUAUUUUUUGCAGAGGGGGGUUUCACCACAUUGCCCAAGCUGGUCUCAAACUCCUAGACUUAAGGGAUCUGCCUGCCUUGGCCUCCCAAAAUGCUGAAAUUACACUUGUUAGCCAUAGUAAUAGUUCCUAGCCAUAGUCCGGAGAUAUUUUAAAAACUUUAGUGUGAGUUAUUUCUCUUUGCUAUAAUUCUCUCAUGCAUUUUGAAAACCUUUUCUGCCAUACAGUGGUUUUUGGGAAGUCCUUUUGGACAGACAUAUCACAGGAUGGAGAAACUAAAAAGAGAGAAUGCAUUAAAGAAAAAAUAGUACUUCGUAUUUCAGAAAUUACAAAAGGGUGUCAUGCCCCACAGCAUGGUGGGCAGUCAUUUGUAACCCACAGAACAUUGAGUUUCUAAAAUUUGAGUGUUUUUAACUUACGAAGGCCAACUUUACUGAUGAAGUGAUUACCCCAAAUAUGUGAAAUCCAUAUUUCAAGUACAAUAGUAGGAAAUUGGAAAUGGGCUCUUGAGUUUCUGCUUUCAAGUGACCCUCAGAAAUUCCUCCAUUCACUGCAGAGGUUCUGUUUCUCCUUGCUUUGUUCUGACUUUACGGCAGAACUAAGCUAAUGAGUUAGUUACUAUGGGUUAUCACUUGGAUUUGAAGAACCAUCAUUUCUAGGCAUUGCUGCUCAGAGUGGGUCUGCCCUCAGGGGAAGCUGUCUAACCAGAGCCUAACCCACUAGGGUUUUAUCAGAACCUAACUGACCUGAGGAAAAGAAAUACUCAACUCCAGCAAGCUCCAGCCUUCCAAAUGGAGGAGGAGAAAACCCAACUCCAGCCCACUUCAGCUAUCUUGUCCCACAUAAAGGGGAAGUGGAAGAAACCUGAGAAGCAGGCAUGAAGUUCACAGUCCAGAGACCUUGCCAUCGUAUCCCCUUUUGGAGACACAAGCCAGGAAGGAAGCUCUUCAGUGCAGCUGUGAAUAGAGAAAUGCUGGCUGAGGUUUUGGAGACACUGGGUGAUCAUUCCCAGUGAAAUUUUUAGAUCCCUGGGGACAUGAGCUGCUUUGUCUUUUCCAAGGACAGCAGACAGAGCAUGAAUGAGACCCCCAAAGAAGGGAAGCAAAUGAGACAAGCCCCACAAUUAUUCUGGCUUUUUGCCUAGAGACAAUCUAUGAACUGUGGGGCAAACAACAGAGAUCAAAACAGCUUGGCAAUCUGAGUUGAGGAUGAAGACACCAUUGGGGCAGAAGCAGCGAUAGCUCAAAUUUGUGGAGCAAAGUACCGGAGAAGAUAAACUGCUCCAAAUUCCAAGAGGCUGGGCAAAGAAAAACUUUGUGGAAAGAAGAAUUAUCAGGGAACUCUAAGCUGAAAAAUUGCCAGGGCUCACACAGACCUGGGGAAUUGGUUGAGUUUAUGCCACCUACAGGAUAGAGAACUUGCUGAAUGUUCAAGGAUUUUGUUACAGAUGCAAGAUGACACUUAAAGGGAUGCAAAACUAACAUCUCUGGAUUAGUCUUAAUAAAGUUUAAAAAUAAGCUUAGAAAAAGUCAAA